rnacentral:rRNA from 1 species
CCCAGACGUGGGGGAUAACGUAGGGAAACUUACGCUAAUACCGCAUACGUCCUACGGGAGAAAGCGGGGGAUCGCAAGACCUCGCGCGGUUGGAUGGACCGAUGUGCGAUUAGCUAGUUGGUGAGGUAACGGCUCACCAAGGCGACGAUCGCUAGCUGGUCUGAGAGGAUGAUCAGCCACACUGGGACUGAGACACGGCCCAGACUCCUACGGGAGGCAGCAGUGGGGAAUAUUGGACAAUGGGCGCAAGCCUGAUCCAGCAAUGCCGCGUGUGUGAAGAAGGCCUUCGGGUUGUAAAGCACUUUUAUCAGGAGCGAAAUCUGCAGGGCUAAUACCCAUGCAGUCUGACGGUACCUGAGGAAUAAGCACCGGCUAACUCCGUGCCAGCAGCCGCGGUAAU